rnacentral:rRNA from 1 species
AGCAGCCGCGGUAAUUCCAGCUCCAAUAGCGUAUAUUAAAGUUGUUGCAGUUAAAAAGCUCGUAGUUGAGUUUCGGGACCAUCAUGUCGGUCGUGCCUCGGUACGUACUGGUAUUGUUGGUUUCUCCCUUCUGACGAACCAUGAUGUCAUUUAUUUGGUGUUGUGGGAAAUCAGGACUGUUACUUUGAAAAAAUUAGAGUGUUUAAAGCAGGCUCACGCUUGAAUACAUUAGCAUGGAAUAAUGAAAUAGGACGUUUGAUUCUAUUUUGUUGGUUUCUAGGAUCGACGUAAUGAUUAAUAGGGACAGUCGGGGGCAUCAGUAUUCAAUUGUCAGAGGUGAAAUUCUUGGAUUUAUUGAAGACUAACUACUGCGAAAGCAUUUGCCAAGGAUGUUUUCAUUAAUCAGUGAACGAAAGUUAGGGGAUCGAAGACGAUCAGAUACCGUCGUAGUCUUAACCAUAAACCAUGCCGGCUAGGGAUCGGGCGAUGUUAUUGUAUUGACUCGCUCGGCACCUUUCGAGAAACCAAAGUGUUUGGGUU